rnacentral:lncRNA from 1 species
UACUACCCGGUCCCAGCCCAUCAAUUUUUAGGAUAAGAUCUUCUAUUUGCUCUAAGGUUUCUCUGCCAUCCAACACAAUUAAAACUUUUUUACGUGAAAUCCUUCUCUUGGAGAAAGUGGCUUCUAUGUAGGAUGCAUCAGGAUGAAUAUUUUCCUCCUCUAACAAUGAGGAUAAAAGUUUAUUGUAUACAACAUUAUGUCCAUACCUGUUUGAUUCAUCAAUUACAUUGAGAAAGCAACAACCUUCAAAUUGAGAAUAAAUUAUAGCAUAUGAAGCCCUAGCAAGAGUGGUCUUUCCUAUGCCACCCAUGCCCCAUAUUCCAAGGACUCUAACAUCAUUUGAGCCAAUUUUCAGUAUUGACUCAAUUUGGUCAUAAUUUUUCUCAACUCCAACAAGCCCCUUAAUUUCACAUGGGUAUCUAAGAUUCAGUUUCCGCAAAACAUUUUUAACAAUGUCCUUAAUGAAGUCCGAUUCGAUCCUAGAAUAUGAACGAGGGGAAGAAGAUUUUACAAGUCUAACAAAUACAAUAGUAGAAAAGUACAUCUAUAUGAUUAGUAUACAAAAUUUAUAGUCAAUAAGGUGACAGUGGCUUAGUAGAGCAAGAAACAAACAAAAAUUAGAUUUGGGGAAACAAAAUACCAAAGACACAAGGUAAUAAAUGUAUAUUUUCUAUGACUUUGGUAGUUUUCAGAAGGUUGUGUCAACUAUUACUUUGGCCUGUUUAUUUUCAAAAAUUAUUUUUAGUGUUUGUUUUCUAAAAUUUAUGUUCAUUUCCAAUUAAGAAUAUGGAGAUGAAAGACUCAUGUAGUAAAUAGCUGUGCUAUAUUAGAAAACAAAACAUGUAAAUGAUAUGAAAUAGUUUAUUUAUUUUACUUCGAAUUUUUUCGUUUUGUUUACCUGUAAUUUUGAGAGUCCCAACCAACUAAACUAGCUGCCUCAGUGAGUGCAUCUUUCCAUUCCUGUAACUUGUCAUUAUUGCUCUUCAAAUCUCGCUUAUGUUUUGCGAAGGCUUGCUUGUAACUCCCAGUCUGCUUCCUCACAUGUGAUGGAUCUAUGUUGUAAAAAACAGGUAUCACAAUCUGUACCAUAUAUUUCUUGCAUUCAAGAAUCUUUUUGAGCUCAUUCAAGCACCAUUUUGAGGAAGCAUAGUUUUCUGAGAAGAUGACAAUAGACACAUGUGACUCCUCAAUGGCUCUGAUGAGUGCUGGCGAUAUCUUAUCUCCUUUUUGAAGCUCAUUGUUGUCUAUAAAGGUUUCAACUUUCUUUCGGCUCCGAGCAUCAUAAAGAUGGCAUGUGAAGUUUCUGCGGGUAUCCUCACCUCGAAAGCUAAGAAAAACGUCAUAUUUUUUCACAGAUGCCACAGAAGAAGAAAAAACACUGUUUGUUUGCUUCCUAGCCAUUAUGAAUUCCAAGCGCUGCGCUAAUCACAAUGCUACACUCAAACAUAAAAAAUAUUUGAUGUUUAAAUUUGUUCUCGGUUACUUUUUGUACUGGCACUCGUGAUAGUGUUACAUAUUGAGAUUUAUAAAUCAGAUUGACAUCAGAUCAGGCAGUUCAAAGUCCACAUAUUGCUCAUAUAUCGACCUAGGUAAUGUGUAUUUUUUGAUCUAGGAAAGCNACAAUUGUAAAUCCCGCCUUAUUUGCUUGACGACGCACCCACUCAAGCAAUUCAUCUCUAUCUUUCGACAUAACGUCGUCUGACAAAAAAACUAGCCGUGUCGACCUCGUGGGCUUGAAGUGGGAGGACACCGGAGCCGCCAACAUACUUUGAAGCUUCAACAUGGAAGGAAGCUCCAUCAAUGUUUGAUUUCGCUUCACUUUAGGCGGUUUGACAUCUCCGGAAAUUUCGACAAAAUUUUGUUUUGUCUCUCCCGAAACAUCUUCCGCGUUCUCUACCAUUACUAUAAUUAAACAACACAUAAAUAUGAAUUAACAACUAACUAAUGUAUAAACAUCAAUGCCAUAAUGAAUUAAAACAAAAAAACAAAAAAAAGAAUUUUUUUUUUGAAAAACUGGCAGUAGCUGCCAUUUUUUCGAUGUGAAAAUUUUUCACAAGAGUUCCUCGGCACCUUACUACCGAGGUUUUCCUCGGCACUACACUAUCGACGUUUUCCUCGGCAAUUAACUGCCGAGGAUUCCCAUGACAAGGUUCUAUGUAACUGACGUAGAUACCCAUAAAAUAGCCCAAAAAUCAAUCGAAUAAAAUGCACAAUACCUAUUUUUUACGUCAAAACUGUGUUGAUACCUCCUAUGCUUGAUGCUUGAAUGAUUUUGGAUCAAUAAUUGAUUAAAAAAAAUGGAUUUUGGGAUUGAAUAAUGGAGGUGGAAAUGAAGUUGAUGAAGAAAAUAGUGUGUAGGGGGAGCAGGUGGUUGUUUCAUCUGAUGAAACAUUCUCUCGGCAGUUAACUGCAGCCGGAAUUCAAAUUCCUCGGCAGUUAACUGCCGAGGGGGUAAAAUCGUAUUUUACUAGUGUGUCACAGCCUUAUCAAAUGUGGGAACAACAAUUCUCAUUUGUUUAAGGUGAUGGUGAAAAGAAGGUGAAGAAAGGGAGAAAUAAUUAGGUGUUUUUGACUCACCGUAAGAUAAAAUACACCUGUAUAAUUGAAUGAUCAUCUUUUUAAAAAAACAUAUCAAGGGUUUAAAUUAAAAAUUUUCAUAAGGUCUAUGGUGGACUACUUUUAAGAUUGAUUCACAAUAGACAUUUGGGGGUUAAACUUAACACCAAUGAUUUAUUUGGCAAACAGAAGAAAAGAUGAAGGACUUAAAGGUACGUUUUAUUAAUUUUGGGACCAAAAUGAAAAGUUAAAAUUAAUUAAGGGAUCAUUGGAUCAAAUAAACCUAACAUUAACCAAGAGGAAGAAAUUUCGGAUAACGUAUAACAAAUGAUGUUAAAGUGACGGAUUGCAUUACUAUCCAGUAACAAUAAGAUUAGCAGAAUUAAUAAUAGGAACGUAGUUUUAUAUUUGUUUGUUAUGUUCUGAGUAAUAAUAGAUAAUUUAGUUGUAUAUCCUUACAUAUAAAUAACUUCGUAUUUUUUUUUGUCAAUUGUUUAGUGGUUAAAACUCACACAUUUUUUAUUAAAAAAAAAAAAAAAACUAAGAUAAGAAAAUGGGGUUAAGAUGACCGGUUCCAAUCUACUUUCUAUCAACAAAAAAAUGGGUUUAUGCCCCGCUAAAUAAAAUAACAAUAAUAAAAUAAAUAUAAUAACCAUAUUAAUUAAUAAAUAACAAAGAUAAGAAAUGGGAUUAAGAAAGGAAGGAAGGAAAAAUCCAAAGUGUCUUCUAGGAGCAAAGGUGUCAUGACAUUAUUAUUAGUAUUUUAUGGAACAAUAUUUAGGGUAGCAUGCCUCAUUCUAGUUUAAGAAAAAAUUCAAGGUUCAAUAAAUGCUUGCAUAAAUACUUACAUACUAUUCAUUAAUUAAAUAUAAGUUGCAUUCUUACAAAAUUGCUGACAUGACAUUAUUCUUUAACAAGCAUACAAAGAAAUAUGACAUUAGAGAUAGUGACCCUUUAAGUAAAAAUAUGUACAUCCUCCGAUUAUAAAAAAAUUAAUAUUUUAUAUUCAUUCAUUAAAUUAUGUUUCAUUAAAUUAUGUAUGUGGUUAAUAAUAAAGACUAUAUACAUCAUUUAAUGAAUGAAUCUAAAAUGUUAAUUUUUGCCUAUAAUAAUAAUAUAAUAAUAAUCGGAGGAUGUAUUAUGAAUUUGUCAAUAUGCGUGGUCAGAUCAGAUGCAUAAAAAAUAAAACUUACAUUGUGAAUUCAAUUUCCUAUAUUAAAACUUACAGUGUGAAUCUAAUUUCCUGUAUUAAAACUUAAGGUGUGAAUCUAAUUUUCUAUAUUAAAGUAAAUAGUUGUUACAUGAGGUCCAUUUCUUUUUAUUUGUUUCUUACCAAUCAAUUUCAGUAACCUUUAAACAAAUGUCAUAUUGUUGAAUCGUGAACUUUCUUCACACGUUCAAUGGCUGGUCCAAUUGAGAAAAUAUUAAUGAAUACAUGCUUUGAUAAAUUAUUUAUCAAAAACUGAUUUAUAUACUUUUUAUACACAAGGAAUUGAGUUGGACAAACCCCUUCACUCCGACCUCAUCCCCCAACCUCUCUCACUGCCAAUUUCAAGUGUGUUUAGCUGAGAAAAAGUUAUGUAAUAUUUUGAGGAAAUUCAAAUUCUUUUAAAUAAAUUUUGUUUGUUUGAAUGAUUAAAUUUAGAGAAUUUAUCAUAUUAAUGAAAUUCUAUGAAGUAUUAUGUUAAGUUAAAUUGAGUGAAUUUCAAAUGAUAUCUAAGGUUUAAGAAUUUCAAAUUUCCUACUAGAUAUAUAUUUCAAAAUUUCCAAGUUGGUCCCCAUAUUUUUCAAAAAAAAUAAAUUGACCCUUAAAUAUUUAAAAUAAAUUGCAAAUUGAUCCUUACAAUUUCUUGAAAAUUAUAAAUUGACCACUUUCAAUUUUUGAAAUCUACAAAUCAGCCCUCUAUUUUUCAAUUUUCAAAUUUGGCCCAAAAUUUUAGAAUAUAUAAAAGUAAGUAGCACAAAAAUAUAACUGAAGUAUUUUAUCACUGUAUCCAAACAAAAAUAUUUAAAAAUAAAGGCAUCUAGCGUCGAUCAUCUCACAAGGUGUUGGGAUGAUUUAUACCGCCGCUUUGAAAAUUAGAACUCUAAGACUAAGAAGGAAAAGAUGAAGGGAACUUGCUACAAAUGGUAUUAUUAAUGUGGCUUGGUGGAACUCUUUACCCUUCUUUACUAGGGAUGACUUUUAUAAAGACCGCUAUGAAUUUUUAAAUUAUCGUUCUCCAUAUCUCUUUGUAUUUUAAUUUGGUUUAUGUUUUGGUUUGGUCCUCCUCUGGUACGGUUUUUCAUUUUUUCAAUAAAUUUUUAGAUCAAGCUGACAUAGGAUGUGGUGAUUUUGAAGUGUCAACAUAGUUGAGAUGUCAAACCUUCUUUUUCAUUGUUGGAGCUUAUGACUUCACCUCCAAUUGCUGAAGGCUGUAACUCAUUAUAAUUUUCCUGCCCACCAGAAUAUUGAGCACUGAAUUUUAAUUUACCAAUUUCCCUACCAUCCAGAUCUGACUUAUGUUCUAAGUUAUAUACAGGUAAGACCCCACACCCCUUUAUCCCCUCCGUUGACCACCACAAUUCUUCAUUGACAUCAUGAUCUGAAAUUAAUACAUGAUCUGAAAUUAAUGUCCCAAUAUAAUUGCAAGCAAAAGUAAAACACGUUUCAACUUCUUUGCCGUUUUCAAAGAUGACACAAUGCAGGGGGUGAUUGCAAAUAUGGAAGCCCUUAGAAAGAAUGGUGCAGAAUAUGAAACCAGACAGGUUAUAUUUUGGAAUAGGAGGAAUGGUUAUUGAAGCCUUUAUUGUUUGAAAAUCAAACUUGCGAGGAACUUGUGCUCCUGGCAAGAUAGAGAAAUAAAAAUCAUCAUGUUCAUUUGCAUGAAAAGGGUAUUUAGAGAAGAUUUGUACCAUGUUCUCAAGAAAUGACCGUUGAGUGGAGUCUGUGUCCAGAUAAGUGCAAUUAAUGGCACUCAAAGAUAAUAGGGAUGGCGGAAGCUCUGUUACAGACACAAGUUUCCUGCAAUCAUCUAAAGCUAGACUUUUUAGCAUUGAAUGGUUUUGUAUGUUCUCGGGGAGACAUUCCAUGUUGCAACACUCAUGCAAUGAGAGCCAUUUUAAAGACUGUAUGCCAUCAAGGAUAGACCACAGACUUAAUGCAUUGAUUUCUGUGCACCCUAAAAGGUCUAGCUCGGUAACAGACCCAAGUCCAUGAUCAUUUGUUAACUUAUUCCCAACAAUGUUAAGCUUGUUACACUCGGAUAGGCCAAGCGAAGUAAGUUUUCUGUUACGCCAAAUCGAUGAAGACAAUUCACGUAUAGCAGUGCCACCUAAGGUCAACUCUGUCAUUUCAUCUGAUGUCACCGAAAAUUCUGUGAGAGAUGCACAACCAUCGAGUAAGAGUUCACGAAGAGAUUUUGAAUGAAUGUUGGUUUUAAGGCUUUCAAUCUUUUUGCAGUCUCGUAAAUCUAGAUAUCUAAGAUCAGGGAGAGAAAAGAUGGAAGGAUGGAGCUGACCCAGGCUUUCACAUUGAAAAAGAUAUACUCUAUGAAGAUUUGUAGCCUUAGAUAAGUCUGGGAUCUCAAUCAGAUUUUUGGAGGAUUCAAGCCAAAGUAUGUUUAGAUUCACAAGAUUCUGUAAAAAGAAAUAAAAACACCAUUUAAAUUCAUAAAUAGAGAAACUAAACCUAAUUAAGCAUAAAUAGAGACUUUUUAAGAAUGAGCAUUAGACUUCCUCUCAUACUUCAACAAAUUAACAAGUAUAUCCAAACACAUUUGUACCUGAACUCCAUCCCAUAGCUUUUUAAGCUUGCUAUGACUCAAGUGAAGCUCUAUGAGCAUUUCAGCACAAAAGGUUGAUGGCAAAUACUCAAGACAGUAUCCUUCCCAUCGAAGAUACCUCAAUUUAUCAGAAAUCCACUCAAGACCAUCGGGAAAGUACACAUUGCACGUGUUUCCUCUAGAUUUAUUAUAGAUUUUAAGAUAUCUUAAAUUUGUCAUCCUUCUAAAGGAAUUAGACUUCAAGUAAAGAUCCCCCACAUCUGUACUAUCGAAUGUUAUCCCUUCGACAGCUUUAGUUCCCUGAUAAAAAUUAAAUUAAUAAUUAGGAAUGGUUGUCACGUAUACUUUCCUUGUUAUAUUUCAUAAUCAAAUACAUGUGUUAUUUUCAUGUAGAAGUGCUUGCAUCCUCUACUUACCUUGUUAUUUUUCAAUACAUCAGAAAUACAUCAGAUAUCUCAUCAGCUUUCCACAGUCGACUUCGUUUUCCAGGGUCUUCAGAUUCUUGAUUAACAAUUUCCCGUCCCAUUUCUUGUAACAAAUCAUGCAUUUCUAUAAUACAAACUUCCCAUUUGACAUGCAAAAUUGAACCUAGUUGAAUGAGAGCCUUAUCUAGAAGGACUUCUAUCCCACUUAUUGCAAAGAACUCACAAGCUUCCAAUAGAUCUCUUACAAAAGUUUUAUCUUUUCCAUUCAACAAGCAUGCGAUGUCUAGAAAUAUGGCCUUCUGACAAUGAUCUAAAUCAUCAUAACUCAAUUUUAACACAUCAUAAAUCUUUCGAUUGGGAAUCUUUUGGAGCUUUUUCAGUUCAUUUUCCCAUGCUUCUCGGCCCCUUGAACUGAGAUUUGCACCUAAAACUUUUAAAGCCAGAGGGUUACCUUUGCAAUAGGCAAUUACACUAUCUGAUAGAUCUUCAUAUCCAGUUUUAGGAUGUUUUUCUUUGAAGGCAAUCAAACUGAAUAGCUGAAGAGAAUCAGGCUUCUCUAAUUCCUUAACCUCAUAUAUUUCACAUUUACUCAACUGACUAAAUAUCUGCUUAUCUCUAGUUGUAAUAAUGACCCUACUACCUGGUCCUAGACCAUCAAUUUUUAGGAUAAGAUCUUCUAUUUGUUCUAAGGUUUCUACACCAUCCAAAACAAUUAAAACUUUUUUACGCCCAAUCCUUCUCUCGGAGAAAGGGGCUUCUAUGUAGGAUGCAUCAGGAUGAAUAUUUUCUUCCUCUAACAAUGAAGACAGAAGUUUAUUGUGUAGAACAUUGAGUCCAUACUUGUUUGAUUCAUCCAUUACAUUGAGGACGCAACGACCUUCGAAUUGGGAAAAAUGUUUAGCAUAUAAUGUCUUAGCAAGGGUGGUCUUUCCUAUCCCACCCAUGCCCCAUAUUCCAAGUACUCUGACUUCAUUUGACCCAAUUUUCAGCAUUGAUUCAAUUUGUUCGUAAUUUUUCUCAAUUCCAACAAGCCCCUUAAUUUCAUAUGGGUACCUAAUAUUCAGUUUCCGCAAAACAUCUUCAACAAUGUCUUUAAUGAAGUCUGGUUCACUCCUAACAUAUGAAAGAUGGGAAGAAUGUUUUACAACAAAAGAAAAAUGCAUUCAUAUAUAUGAUUAGGACAUAAUAAAAUUUAUAUUCAACAUGGUGGCAGAGUAGAGCACAUAAAGAAAAUCAAUUACGUAAGACACAGAAGAUAAUUAAUGUCUUAUUUUUUUAGGAAGUGAAAUCCUAAAGAAAAUUCCAAAAAAUUGUAUAGAUUUUAAAAAAAUUGUAUGAUAACUAUGGCCAGGCACAUCAACAUCAUUGUUUACUUUCUAAAGUUAUUAUUAGCUUUCAUUUUCUCAAAUUUAUGUUCAUUUCCAAUCACGAAUAUGGAAAUGAAAAACUUGUGUAGUAAAAAAUUGUGCUAUAUUAGAAAACAAAACUUGCAAAUCAUAGGAUAUAGUUUAUUGAUUUACUUAGGAUAGUUCGUUUUACUUACCUAUAAUUUCGAGAGUCCCAACCAACCAAAUUAGCUGCCUCGGUGAGAGAAUCUUUCCAUUUCUUCAACUUGUCAUUAUUGUGCUUCAAAUCUUGCUUAUGUUUUGCAAAGGCUUGCUUGUAACUCCCGGUCUGCUUCCUCACAUGUGAUGGAUCUAUGUUGUAAAAAACUGGUAUCACAAUCUGUUGCAUAUAUUUCUUGCAUUCAAGAAUCUUUUUGAGCUCAUUCAAGCACCAUUUUGAGGAAGCAUAGUUUUCUGAGAAGAUGACAAUAGAUGCAUGUGACUCCUCAAUGGCUUUGAUGAGUGCUGCCGAGAUCUCAUCUCCUUUUCGAAGCUCAUUGUUGUCUAUAAAUGUUUCAACUUUCUUUCGGCUCAAAGCAUCAUAAAGAUGGCUAGUGAAGUUUCUGCGAGUAUCCUCACCUCGAAAGCUAAGAAAAACGUCAUAUUUUUUCUGAGGCACCACAUCAGAAGAAACUAUAGAGGAAAAGGCACUGCUCAUUUUCGGCACGGCAGUUAUGAAUUCCAAGUGCCUGCACUGAUUAGGCCACUAAUCACAAUGCUACAAUAAAAAAGAAGUAAUGUUUAAUUAGAGAAAGUAGUAGAUAAAUUAAAAUUGAGGGAAAAAAGAUUAUACGUACCAAAGUCAGAAUCCAGCUUCAUGCAAUAGAGGAGAAGAAUACUGUAAAAGUUAUAAUCCAGCUUCCGGAAUUAAUUUUGGAUGAGCACACACAAACUCUUCAUAAUGCUUUGGUUGGUCAUGAUGUAUAUUGUAUAUAGAUGUAAUGUGUGGUUAUCCUUCAAGGAAGUUUCGUUUGCUUAAACAUUGUGUUUGGUAGAGGUGAUUUAUGAGAGAGAAAUAGGUGAGAGAGAGAGAUACAAGAGAAAUGUUGUAUUUCUUCAGUUUGCUAAUAUUAUGUUUUAAAAAAUAAUUUGUUAGUUGUCAUUAACUAUUCUGUUAUCAUUUGAAUAGGAGGAAUAUGACCGACAACUUGCCGAGGCUCUUUCUAAAGGGUUAACUGUUGAUCAUAGUUUGGCCCUCCAAAUUUGGACCAAAGUUGCUGGCGAUAAAACCAAAGGAAAAUUAUAUGGUGCCGGUAACUUGACCGCUAACUACCGGAAGGGUGUUGCAACAACCCUCAGAUUUACCCUUAAUCAUGGCGAAGGAUCCUCCCAGCAGCCUGCACUGACCCCUGAGAUGCAUGACCUUAUUCAAAGAUUGACUCAAGAGCAGCUCACCCAGCAAAUGGCGAGACAUGAGGCCGUUGUACAAGAUUUGCUUAGCCGCCAACGAACAUAUGAGGAGCAACUGGCUCAAUUUCGGCAAGCACAUGAGGAUGGGAAUUCAAGUCAGCAAGCGUCAGUUCCAGAUCCCAAUGUAGAGCCUUUUCCAAUUUAUGGCGAAGGUGGAAGCGAAGGAAGCAAGGAGAUUGAGAGCGAUGAUGAGGAGUGAAGUUGGACCCUUAUGAUGUGUUCAUGCAUGUUAUUUUAUUUUGCUUUUAUUAUCUAUGGUGUGUAAUAUUUGGGAAAGUUUGUUAUGCUUCGUGAUACAAUUGCUACUUAUUUGCUACUUAUGGUCUAUAACAUUAUUCCCUAUGAUUUUAAUUUCAUUACUGUUGGACUUAAUAUUUUGUGGGUGCUAUUACUUUAAUUUUUAUUCUUAACUACUUAUUUUAAAGCAAUUAAAUUAAAAAAACCAUGUGUUUUAAAUUAUUUUAAAUGAUUUUAAAAUAAUGAAAUUAAAAAAAGCAAUUUAAAAUCGUUUUUAAAUUUAUUUUAAUAAUUAAUUUUAAUUAUUUUAAUGAAAUUAACGUUUUUAAAAAACAAUUAAAAACCAUUUUUUAAAAAAAUUAUCUCUGCAAUUUGCCAGGGGUAUACCCCUUGCAAUACUCCUGUCAUAUUUUGGGUCAGACUGCAGCUGAUUGACAGCGCGUAAGUUCUGCAGUGCGUCAGAAAAGCCUGCAGUGCGUCAGGUAAGCAGGUUGUUGAGUCAGACAAUUAGUCAGGGCCCUGCCAGGGGUUUUUCCAGGAGUUAUAAGAGGGGUUUAGACAGGAGUGUGUCCCACGCAGAUUUGCAGCCCUGGCAUAGCAAUUUGCUAUGAGCGCAUUUGCCACUGAUUCAACUCCUCACAAAAGCCCUGGCAAAUGGCUUUUUCCCAGGGAUUCUUGCAAUUUCACAAGGAAUCCACCCCUGGCUAAUUGCAGGAUUUCUUGUAGUGUUCAAUUGUUUUUCUCUGCUAUUCUCCCUUGUUCAUAAUUGUGGUUCAAAGUACCAAAGGGAAUGGAUUAGGUAUGACAAUUUAUCAUUAAAUAUUCCAAUUUAAUAAAUGACACAUGUUGAACAUUAUUUGUUGCAUUACUUAAUAACUCUCGGAUGCCAUGCCUCAAAACACAAAUGAAUCAAAUGAUGGUAGUAUUUGGCAAAUAAUUUAUAAUAAUAUCUAGAACGAAAUUUGUUUCUUUAAUUAAUAAGACCUCCAUUGCUGCAAGUGGCAAAGUACUUGGAUCAAUUCAUUGGUUCAGGUUGUAAGGCAUUUGAUCCUUUUUAGCAAGUGAUCAAAGGUUUGAUCUCUGACUCUUGUAUAUGAAAAAAAGAAUCCAAUUAGAAGUAGAGAACUCAUCUUGUAUAUCUCACGGGUUCUCUGACGCAGAUUAAUCACCGCUAAAAUUCUUGUGUUUCUUAUCAACAUUUUCUCAUAACAAUAAGCAUUUUCCAUCAUGUUAAGUCCUUUUCUAUUUAAAAAUGAUCUGCAAUGCUAGGGAGAAUGAUAGAUGGUAAGAAACAUGGAAGUUCCCAACUUCCAAAAGAUCCUACUGAAAGGCAAUAAAUAAGCCUAUGGGUGCUCAAAUAUUGUUCUGAAUGAAAGCAAGUUGAUUACCAAAUAAACUACCCUCCCCAAGUGGAUAGCAUAGGGGCAAGUUCCCAAAUUCAAAUACAUGAAACUAGGAUUAUGUUAAUGAAUACCGAUGUGAUUACUGCAAAACGAAGAAGAACGACAAGUCAUUUAGUUACAAAGCAGAUGUUUGAAGAAAGAGGAGUUCAAGUACCAAGAAACACAACAGAAAACAACUGCAUAAAUUUAGGAAGUUUUCUGCCAUGGUAAAAGUAACAAGCAACCUAUCAUUGCACAGCUUGAUAUCACCAGUCUACUGCAUCAACACAUACUGUUGAGUGAAUGUAAUGAUGUUGUGCUCAUUUUACUUGGGAAACAGGAGAAAGAGACCAAAAAACAUUUCUGACUUCUAUUAUUCUUUUGAUCGUUUUAACAAGUGCCUCAUCAAAGAACCUGUCCAAUGUUAUUGCAACAAGACGAAUAUUAUUUUCUAGAAUCACAAGAUUUUUGAAACAAUUCUUCAUUUUGAAGAUUUUUCAAUUAAAAAAAAAACUAAUAUGGAAUGUAUAACUAGAGAGUGGGUUUUGAGUUUCAUACCUAUUGAACAAGAAGGUUGUUCUUGGUAUUCUUCAUUAUCAUUGUUAGAGCUUCCGACUUCACCUUCAAUUUUUCUUGGCUGUCAUCAAUAUCAUUUUUCAAAUCAAAAUCAAAUUCACCAGAGUCCUGAGCACUGGAUUUUAAUUUUGAUUUAACUAUUUCCUCACGACUACUACUUAUAACAUACAGCUCCGACUCACUUUUCAAGUCAUAUACAGGUAAGACUCCACACCCCUUUAUCCCCUCUGUUGACCACCACAAUUGUUCCUUUUGACCUUGAAGUAGGAACUGAAAUGAUAGGUUGCAAAAGUCAUGACUUCCAGUUUCUUGUUUGUUGUAACCAUUCCAGCAUAUCAAUACAUGAUCUGAAAUUAAUGUCCCAAGAUAUUUGCAACUAAUACGACAUCUGUCGACUUCUUUGCCAAAGUUGCAUGCAACUUCUACACCUGACAAGAGAGAAAAAUGACGAACACCAUCUUCAUCAGGAGUGUCUUUAGAGAAAGUUCGUACCAUGUUCUCAAGCAAUAACCGUUGAGUGGAGUUCAUAUCCAGAUAAUUGCAGUUAACAGCUGUCAAAUAUAACAGGGAUGCUGGAAGCUCUGCUAGAGACACAAGUUUCCUGCAAUCAUCUAAAUCAAGCCAUUUUAGGAUUGAAUGGUUUUGGAUAUUCUCGGGGAGACUUUCUAAGUUGCAGCACUCAUUCAAUAUUAGCUGUUUUAAAGAUUGUAUGCCAUCAAGGAUGGACCAAAGACUUAAUGCAUUGAUUUCUGUGCACCCUGAAAGGUCUAGCUUUGUAACAGACCACAGUCCAUGAUCAUCUCUUAACUUAUUCCCAACAAUUUUAAGCUUGUUACACUCAGAUAGGCCAAGCCAAGUAAGUUUGCUAUUGCGCCAAAUCGAUGAAGACAAUUCACGUAUAGCAGUGCCGCCUAAGGUCAACUCUGUCAUUUCCUCCGAUGUCACCAAAAAUUCUGUGAGAGUUGAACAACCAUCGAGUAAGAGUUCACGAAGAGAUUUUGAAUGAAUGUUGGUUUUAAGGCUUUCAAUCUUUUUGCAACCUCGUAAAUCUAGAUAUCUAAGAUCAGGGAGACAGAAGAUGGAAGGAUGGAGCUGACACAGGCUUUCACAUUGAAAAACACUCCAUGAAGAUUUGUAUCCUUAGAUAAGUCUGGGAUCUCAAUCAGAUCUUUGGAGGAUUCAAGCCGGAGUAUGUUUAGAUUCACAAGAUUCUGUAACAAUAAAUAAACAUGACAUUGCUUAGAAACCAUUAAAUCCAUAAUUAAGCAUAAAUAGAGACUUCUUAAGAAUGUGCAUCAGACUUCCUCUCAUACCUAAAUAAAUUAACACGUACGUAUAUCCAAACACAUUUGUACCUGAACUCCAUCCCAGAGCUUUUUAAGCUUGCUAUGACCCAUGUGAAGCUCUAUGAGCAUUUCAGCACAAAAGGUUGGUGGCAAAGACUCAAGGCAGUAUCCCUCCCACAUAAGGAACCUCAAUUUAUUAGAAAGCCACUCAAGACCGUCGGGAAAGUGCACAUUGCAUGUUCUCCCAUUAGAUAUAUUAUAGAUUUUAAGAUAUCUUAAGUUUGUCAUCCUUCUAAAGGAAUCAGACUUUAAGUAAAGAUUCCCAACUUCUGUACUAUCAAAUGUUAUACCUUCCACAACUCCCGUUCCCUACCAAACAAAAAUCAGAUUAUUAAUUAGGAAAGGAUGUAAUAAAUGUUUGCUUGUUAUAUUUCAUAACCACAAACAUGUGUUUUCAUAUGGAAGUAAUUGCAUUGUCUACUUACCUUGUUUUUUUUCAAUACAUCAGAUAUUUCUUCAGCAUUCCACAAUCGACUUCGUUUUCCAGGGUUCUUAGAUUCUUGAUUAACAAUCUCUCGUCCCAUUUCUUGUAACAAAUCAUGCAUUUCUAUACCAUCAACGUCCGACUUGACAUAAACAUGCCAUAUUUUUUUUAGUUGUAUGAGAGAUUUAUCUAGAAGGACUUCUAUCCCACUUACUGCAAAGAACUCACAAGCUUCCAAAAGUUUUCUUACGAAAGAUUUACUCUCUUCUCUCAGCAAGCAUGCGUUGUCUAGAAAUAUGGCCUUUUGACAACAAUCUAAGUCAUCAUAACUCAAUUUUAAUACAUUGUAAAUUUUCGUAUUGGGAAUCUUUUGGAGCUUUUUCAAUUCAUUUUCCCAUUCAUCUUUGCCUCUUGAACUCAGAUUAGCACCUAAAACUUUUAAAGCCAGAGGAUUGCCUUUGCAAUAGGCAAUUACACUCUCUGAUAGAUCUUCAUAUCCAAUUUUAGGAUGUUUUUCCUUGAAGACAGUCAAACUGAAUAGCUGAAAAGAAUCAUGAUUAUUCAAUUCCUUAACCUCGUAUAUUUCACAUUUACUGAACUGACUAAUUAUGUGCUUAUCUCUAGUUGUAAUAAUGACCCUACUACCGGGUCCCAGCCCAUCAAUUUUUAGGAUAAAAUCUUCUAUUCUCUCUAAGGUUUCCACGCCAUCCAAUACAAUUAUAACUUUUUUAAGCGCAAUCCUUCUUUCGGAGAAAGGGACUUCUAUGUAGGGUGCAUCAGGAUGAAGAUUUUCUUCCUAUAACAAUGAAGAUAAAAGUUUAUUGUAUACAACAUUGAGUCCAUACUUGUUUGAUUCAUCCAUUACAUUGAGGAAGCAACGACCUUCGAAUUGGGAAUAAAGUUUAGCAUAUAAAGUCUUAGCAAGGGUUGUCUUUCCUAUGCCACCCAUGCCCCAUAUUCCAAGGACUUUAACAUCAUUUGACCCAAUUUUCAGCAUUGAUUCAAUUUGUUUAUAAUUUUUCUCAAUUCCAACAAGACCCUUAAUUUCAUAUGGGUAUCUAAGAUUUAGUUUCCUUAAAACAUCUUCAACAAUGUCCUUAAUGAAGUCCACUUCAAUCCUUGCACAUGAAGGAAGGAAAGGUCUUACAAGUCUAACAAAUACAAUAGAAGAAAAAUACAUCUAUAUGAUUAGUAUACAAAUUUGUAGUCAACAUGGUGGCAUUAACAUCUAUUUUUUCUACGAAGUGAAAUCCUAAAGAAAUUCCAAAAAAUCAAAAAUCAAAAAAAGGUUUUUAUGCUACCCAAACGAUAAGAUGAUGUAUUCUUUGUAUUUAGAUUUAAGAGUAUCAAUUGAGUGAUAAGUGUAUGCAGGGUACAAGAAUAUGUUGACUUUGAAGACUCCUACCCUCUUCCCAAUAGUAAAUAACUGUGCUAUAUUAGAAUACAAAACAUGCAAAUGAUAGGAAAUAGUUUAUUGAUUUUACUUUGAAUUUUGGAAACAUACAAGUGAUGAACAUAUCCAAAGCUGGAUAGUUUGUUUUAUUUACCUAUAAUUUUGAGAGUCCCAUCCAACUAAAUUAGCUGCCUCAGUGAGAGAGGCUUUCCAUUUCUCCAACUUGGCAUUAUUGUGCUUCAAAUCUUGCUUAUGUUUUGCAAAGGCUUGCUUGUAACUCCCGGUUUGCUUCCUCACAUGUGAUGGAUCAAUGUUGUAAAAAAUAGGUAUCACGAUCUGUUCCAUAUAUUGCUUGCAUUCUAGAAUCUUUUUGAGAUCAUUCAAACACCAUUUUGAGGAAGCGUAGUUUUCUGAGAAGAUGACAAUAGACACAUGUGACUCCUCAAUGGUUUUGAUGAGUGUUGGUGAGAUCUCAUCUCCUUUUUGAAGGUCAUUGUUGUCUAUGAAGGUUUCAACUUUCUUUCGACUCAAAGCAUCAUAAAGAUGGCUUGUGAAGUUUCUGCGAGUAUCCUCACCUCGAAAGCUAAGAAAAACGUCAUAUUUUUUCGGAGGCCCCACAUAAGAAGAAGAUAUAGAGGAAAAAGCACUGCUCAUUUUCUGCGCGGCGGUUAUGAUUUCCAAAUGCCUGCACUAAGCCACUAAUCACAAUGCUACAAUAAAAAAAAGUAUUGGGCUUCAUAAAUUUGAUUAUCAUUUGGAAUCAUUUUUGGCAGCAUAACAAAAAGAAUGGCAACAUUCAAAGCGAGCCUAACAAAAAUAAGGCAAAUUCUAUAUUACACCCAAUAUAUUUGAGUGUAUCGGUACAUCCACUCUUUAAAUUAAUAGUUAAAUGAGUUUUUUUUUGAAGAAAAAUAUUAUUUUUUAUCAUUUAUUAUUAUAAUAACUAAAUCUUAUUCAUAAAAAAUAUCAACAAAAUAAAAUUAUUAUUUUUUGAAUUUUUAUUGCUCAUAAUUUAUAACAUUUAUUAUUUUUUACGAUAAUAUGUAAAAAAAAAUACUAUGAUUGUCAUAAACAAUGAAAUGAUUUUUUUUUUUUUUAUGAACUGAUGUUAUAUAAAAUAUAACUAUUGACAAAGAGCUAUUUAUUACAUAAAAAAUUAUCGUUAAUUUAUAAAAUUAUGAAGAAGGAGUACCGGUACACCUCACUUUGUGAGUGUACCGUAGAAGUUUCCCAACAAAAUAAUUACAAUAAUAUAGAUGAAUGUCUUGAGACAAUUUAUUUUUGGCGAUUACUUUCUCCACCCUAUAAGGUUCUCACACGUCCUUUUUUUUUUCUUUCCAAAUUGCCCCUUAGAUUUUAGAAAAUGAAAACCAAUUCCAAAUAUAAAUUCCGAAACAUUUCGCUUUAUAAAAGCAAGAUCAGCAACUUCCACCAUUUUACAGUUUUAGUUUUACAAUUUCACUUUCUCUCUCUCUCUCUCACCGAUCCCAUAAUCCUAAAAUAUUGGUCCAAUCUUUGAGUUUUUUUUGCUCAAAAUCAUCACAUUUGAAGCUUUAUCAAACCCCAUAGUGAAGGUUAGGUCUCAUUCCAUCUGCAUACAAGCCUUUGAGUUCGAAUAUUUUUUUUGUGGCAACUGAAUAUGUUUGGAUUAUAAAAUCCAAACUGGAUUGUUGAAGUUCAGAUUUUAUAAUCUGAAGUGUACCUGUAGGCAGAUUUUUGGACAAUUUUGUGGAUUUAUAUUGAUUGCGUUUUACCUGGUUAUGCAUGUUACAAGCAUGGAUCGUGUUGGGCGCACCGUGGGUGAUGGAGAAGCAAUGCAUGUUUAUGUUUGGAGAGAGCGUUUGGAGAGGUUGCAAGCGGAGGGGAGAGUGCCCAGGCGUGGCAAGGGCAGGGAAAGGGCACGCCGUGGUGAUGCUGAUGGCGAGGGAACAUCUCAGGGGAACUAUAUUGAGCUUGAGCCACAGAGGGAGAUAAGAGAAGGUGGAGGGUGAUGUUGAGCAACAGGAGGAGGGUGAUGAAGAGCAGCAUGAGCGUGUGCAGCCAAAGCCAAAGGAGCUUGAUCACUAUCUUGGUGGCCCACACGACUUGACUGUGCUGACCAAGUACCAUGUUCACGUGGUCAGGAUGGCAGUUGAUGAAGUGGUAAGACACUGCACCUUUAAUUUAAUGAAAAUUGAAUUUUUAUGUUUAAUUAAUAAUAAUUGUAAACUUUUUGUUAAUUUUUGUCAUGUAUUAUUUCGAUUACUGUGAAACUGAUGUUAAUUUUUUGUUUUAAAUUUUAGCAGUGCGGUGACAAUUUAAAAUGUGUAAACAACAGGAAGAAGAUAGAAGCGAUACAUAAACCAAAGGUUUAAAUGUAUUUCAUCCUUGCAAUUAAGGGUCGUUUAAAAAUUGGUCCCUGUAUUCGCUAAUCCUUGCAAACUAGCCUUGCAAUAAUUAAUCAUUUAAAAUUUCGUCCUUUGACCAACUUAAUCACUGCCACGUCACUAAUUUGAUGACGUGGCAAUCACUAUCACACAUGAAAUUCCAAUUUUUCUCUUAAGAAGAGGACAAAAUAUUGAAGAAAGAAUUAGAAACUCAGGGGUAAAAUUGGAAUUUCAUGUGUGACAGUGAUUGGCACGUCAUCAAAUUAGUGAUGUGGCAGUGAUUAAGUGGGGAGAGGGACGAAAUUUUAAAUGAUUAAACAAUGCAAGGGUAAAUUGCAAGGAUUAGCGAUUACAGAGACCAAUUUUUAAACGACCCAUAAUUGCAAGGAUGAAAUACAUAUUUAAGCCUAAACCAAACAAGACUCUGAUGGCAAGACUGUGUGGUUUAAGCAUGGGCUGAAAGUCACUGGUCUUCGGUGGCUGCAGGAUAUCAGCUACAGCCAGAUUGAACACGGGCUUUGUUCUGCAAUUGUGGAGAGAUGGCACGAGGAGACAUCGAACUUUCAUCUUCCGUUUGGGGAUAUGAUAGUGGCACUGGAUGAUGUGUCAUGUUUGCUGCAUCUCGCCAUCGAGGGUAUGCUCUUGUCCUAUGAAAGUAUGUCAAGGGGUGAUGUUGUUGAGUUGUUGAUGGAAUUGUUGAGGGUUGAUGCGGGCGAGACAUGGACCGAGGUGGAAAAGAAAAAAGGUGGACAUGCACGGUUUAACUUCUUGAAGGAUAUAUACUUUCAAGGAGCAUGUUCGGGAGGCACAUGAGGUCUACCAUGCUGGUCAGUUUGUUGAGAUGCAGCAGCGGGAGUAUUUUCCAACAGAAGGUAUGGCCUAAACUAAUUUUAUCAAUUUAUUUAUUUCAAAUUCUAUGAUCAAUUUGAAAAUGACCUAUGUAAUUAGAGAAACUAGCAGUUAAAUUAAAAUUGAGGGAAAAAAGAUCAUACCAAAGUCAGAUCAAUCCAGCUUCAUGCAAUAGAGGAGAAAAAGACAGUAUGGCUUAGCUUCUGGUGGAAUCAAAUUUGGAUGAAAAUUAAUUAAGGAUAAACACACACAAACACUUCAUAAUGCCUUGGUCCUGAUGUAUAUACAUGUAAUGGGUCAAAUUUAAAAUAUAAAAUAACAAGUGUGGCUUAGCUUGCUUCCUUUUUGAUGGAGACUACUAGAUAAACUAUGGAAUUGGAUUUCAGAUUAAAAUAUAUGCAAAAUUAAGCUUGUUGUCCUUCAAUUUUGAGUCAUUUUUCAGAUUAUACCUAUUCACGUAUGUAAACACAAGUUAAUUACAAUAGGUGAGUUGCUGAGUGAAAUGUCUUAGGUGCAAUUCCAAGAACAAUUAGAUUAUACCUAUUAAGCUUGUUGUCCUUUAAUUUUGACUAUUUUUCAGAUUAUACCUUUUAGUUUUUCUUUCUUCCUUGAAUAGUUUCUUCAAAUAUUUAUAAUUACCAACAGAAGGUAGAGCCUUGGACUUAUACAAUAUAUAAGUGGCUUAGAUGUAUUCUUGUCUUUCGUUGGUCUAUGAAAUCGUAAAAACAAACACUUUCGUAUAUUUAAUUAAAUUUAAAGGUAAAGUAAAACAUUAAAUUAAUUUUAAAAUCCCUCCCCUCGUGAACCACAUCAAUUAAUGUUUUUAUUUUUUGUGGAAUUUCUAAAUGUUUUAAUUGAUUAGUUUUUUUUUUAAAGAAUGUUUUGAUUGAUUAGUUGUGUAUGUACAAAGCUGUUUUAGACCGUCGACUCGUUAAUCUUAAACCCUUAACAAAAACUGAUUUAGACCGUCGACUCGCUAAUCAAACCAAGUAAUUAAAUUAAAAAAUUACUUUCUGUUGGAGAAAAGAUACUAUUUGGAAUAUGCAUUGGAAAUAAUGAGUAGCAGAGAGAUUACAAACACUAUAUUAUUUUGUGGGAAAACCAAGAUCUUUGAUCUGUAUCAUUUAAAAAGGAAAGACCAUUAACAGAACCAUUAUUAUUCUUCUUAUCUUUAUUUCUUAUGACUCAAAAUCAUGAAACUCAAGUAGCUACUGCAAUAGGGAGAAAAAGAGGAAGAAGACCGACAAUUCAUUUAAUGACGAAGCAGAAGAUGUUAGAAGAAAGCAGCAUUGCUAUCUUCAAUGAUCAAGAACAUUGACACUGUGAUGUGAUCCUAAAAUUCUCUCUCUUGACAAGAAUAAUAAAGUCAUUGUAGAAUAAAAGAACCAAAUUAAUUUUGGGUUCAAAGUUUUAUUUUCGUAGGUCAUUAUAUGUCUGUCUUGUUUUGGCUAUAUCUGGAGCUCUGGAUAUCCGUUUGAGGUGAUCUUUAACUCGUUGGAAAGCUUACGAAAUUCUCUACAUUUCAUCUGUUUGAUUCAAGAGCAAAUUCGGAAUAUUUAAUGGUGCAGAAUGAGCUGUAGGUAGAAGACGUGGUUAAAGUAUGUUAGCUGAAGAAUUAAAGGUGGUGUUUGUGGAAUUGUAACGUCUAGCCAUAAUAAGCCUUCACAAAUCAAUGUGCAAAUGAAUAUGUAACCUUCUCAUGCAUUGAUCAACCACCAACUUUAAAGAUCCAAUUAAAUUGUAACCUCUUUUGUAAUAACUAGCCACCUAGGAAUUAUAACACUAAUUAUGCUAUGAUUGUAAGUUUUUCAGCUUCCAAGCCUAUUUCCUAUAAAAAGGGGGCGAAAAUAAUGAAGGGGACAAGUUGAAUUUAAAAAAAAUAAAAAAUAAAUAGAGAAUUUUAGGAUCACAUCACACUGCUAAGGAAAAUGAAUGGGGAUCUUUACACAAAAUUAUGAAACGCUGCAAACCUGGUUAUAGCUGACUACUUAUACCAACAAUAAAAACAGGAUCAGAUUGAUUAAUACCAGCAAUCACAGCACAGAACUGCUGAAUAAAAUUAGGAAUACUUCUGCAAAGGUAUAAAUUAUAAAGUUUAAAUAUGCCUUUAGUCCUUGCACUUUUAUCAGAUUUUGGCAUUGGUCCCUACACUUUUUUUUGUUUGGAAUUGGUCCCUGCACUUUGUAAAAAUAUUGGUAUUGGUCCCUGCACUUUGUAAAAAUAUUGAUAUUGGUGCCACGUGGCGUGAAAUGAUUGGGCCACGUGGCACUCCGUUGAUUUUGUGUUUUUUUUUUUAACAGAAAGUUAACAGGGGGUCAAUACCAAUAUUUUUACUAAGUGCAGGGACCAAUGCCAAAAUCUGAUGAAAGUGUAGGGACCAAUGACACAUUUAAACCAAAUUAUAAUUAGCACAACGUAUCAUUGCACUUAGGCAUUUAAAUGAUGAAUUUAAUACCAGUCUACUGCAUCACCGAAUCUUUCUGAAUGAAUGCGAUGAUGUUGUGCUUAUUGUAUUUGAGAAACAGGAGAAAGAGAUUACAAUAUUUCCGACUUGUAUUAUUCUUUUGACCCUCUUAGCAAGUGCCUCAAAAAAAGACCUGCCCAAUAUGUUGUUUCAGCAUAAAGUUAUUGCAAUACACCGAGCAUUAUUCACUUGAAGGAUUAAAAUUUUCUAUUAAAUAAAAAAUAUUGAAUCUAUAAUUAUAAAGUCGGUUAAAACUUCAUACCGAUUGAACAAGAAGGUUGUUCCUCUUUGCAUGAAUAGGAAGGUUGUUCCUGGUUAUCUUCAUUUUCAUUGUUAGAGCUUCUGACUUCACCUCCAAUUGCUAUAGACACAUCAGAGUCUUGAGCAAUGGAUUUUAAUUUACCAAUUUCCUUACUAAUGAUACUGCUACCACCACCUUCCAACUCACGUUCUAAGGCAUAUACAGGUAUGACCCCACACCCUUUUAUCCCCUCUGUUGACCACCACAAUUCUUCAUUGGGACCUUGAAGUAUGAAUUUAAAUGAUAAGUUACAAUCAUAACUUCCACUUUCUUGUAUGUUGUAACCAUGCCAACGCAUCAAUACAUGAUCUGAAAUUAAUGUCCCGAGAUAAUUGAAUCUAAUGCGACGUCUGUCGACUUCUUUUCCGCAUUCAAAGAUAAUACAAUGAAGGACAUGGUGGUUAACAGUGAAGCCCUCAGAAAAAAGGAUGCAAAAUAUGAAACCACACAAGUCAGAUUUAGCAAUAGGAAGAAUAGUUAUUGAAGCCUUGAUUGUCUGAAAAUCAAAAUUUAAUGGAAUUUGUGCUCCUGGCAUGAAAGAGAAAGGACGGAUAACACCUUCAUGUUCAAUAGAAGGGUCUUCACAGAACUUUUGUGCCUUGUUCUUAAUCAAUGAAAAUUGUGUGAAGUAUGUGUCCAGAUAUGUGCAAUUAACGGCUGUUAAAUAAAACAGGGAUGGCGGAAUCUCUGUUAGAGACACAAGUUUCCUGCAAUUGUCUAAUUCAAGCCAUUCUAGCAUUGAAUGGUUUUGUAUGUUCUUAGGGAGACAUUCUAAGUUGCAACACUCAUUCAAUUUUAGCCGUUUUAAAGAUUGUAUGCCAUCAAGGAUGGACGACAGACUUAUUGCAUUGAUUUCUGUGCACCCAGAAAGGUCUAGCUCUGUAACAGACCCCAGUCCAUGAUCAUCUGUUAACUUAUUCCCAACAAUAGUAAGCUUGUUACAUCCAGCUAGGUCAAGAACAGUAAGUUUGGUAUUAUGCCAAAUCGAUGAAGUCAAUUCAUGUAUAGAAGUGUCACGUAAGGAUAAUUUUGUCAUUUCCUCCGAUGUCACUGAAAAUUCUGUGAGAGAUGAACAACCAUUGAGUAAGAGUUGACGAAGAGAUUUUGAAUGAAUGUUUGUUUUAAGGCUUUCAAUACUUAUGCAACCUCUUAAGUCUAGAUAUUGAAGUUGAGGGAGAGAAAAGAUGGAUGGAUGGAGUUGACGCAAGCUUUCACAUUCCGAGAGAAGUACAACAACAAGAUUUGUAGCCCUAGAUAAGUCUGGGAUCUCAAUCAGAUCUUUGGAGGAUCGAAGCCAAAGUGUUCUUAGAUUCACAAGAUUCUGUAACAAGAAAUAAACAUCCAUGAGUGUUGAUUAAAAGAGAAACAAAACCUAGUUAAACAUAAAGAGAAACAUCCUAGCUCUGCUGCAAUUUAGUGAAAAACAUUUGUACCUGAACUCCAUCCCAGAGCUUUUUAAGCUUGCUAUGACUCAUGCAAAGAUAUACAAGCAUUUCAGCACAAAAGGUUGAUGGCAAAGACUCAAGACAGUAUCUUACCCAUAGAAGAUACCUCAAUUUAUCAGAAAUCCACUCAAGACCGUCAGGAAAGUACACAUUGCCUGUGCUCCCAUCAGAAUCAUUACAGAUAUGAAGAUAUCUUAAAUUUGUCAUCCUUCUAAAGGAAUCAGACUUCAAGUAAAUAUCCCCAACAUUUGUACUAUGGAACCUUAUACCUUCCACAACUUCAGUUCCCUGACAAAUAAAAAUUAGAUUAAUAAUUAGGAAAGGCUGUCAUGUGUACUUUCCUCGUUAUAUUUUAUAAUCACAUACAUGUUUUUUCGUAUAGAAAUGAUUGCAUUCUCUAGUUACCUUGUUUUCUUUUAAUAUAUCAGAUAUUUCUUCAGCUCUCCAUAACCGACUUCGUUUUCCAGGAUCUUUAGACUCUUGAUUAACAAUCUCCCGUCCCAUUUCUUGUAACAAAUCAUGCAUAUCUAAACCAUCAGUUUCCAAUUUGGCCAACGAGUGCCAAUUUGAUUUUAUUUGUAUGAAAGCUUUAUCUAGAAGGACUUCUAUCCCACUUUCUGCAAAGAACUCACAAGCUUCCAAGAAAUGUAUCACAAACAUUUUAUUCUCUCCUCUCAACAAGCAUGCGAUAUCUAGAAAUAUGUCCUUUUGAAAAAUAUCUAAGUUAUCAUAACUCAAUUUUAACAUAUUGUUAAUUUCCCCAUUUGGAAUCCUUUCGAGCUUUUUCAAUUCAUCUUCCCAUACUUUUUUGCCUCUUGAACGGAGAUUUUUACCUAAAACUUUUAAAGCCAAAGGGUUGCCUCUGCAAUAGGCAAUUACACUUUCCGAUAGAUCUUCAUAUCCAAUUUUAGGCUGUUUUUCUCCGAAGGCAAACAAACUGAAUAGUUGAAGAGAAUCAUGUUUGUUCAAUUCAUUAAACUCAUAUAUUUCACAAUUACUCAACUGACUUAGUAUGUGCUUAUCUCUAGUUGUAAUAAUGACCCUACUACCCAAUCCCAACCCAUAAAUUAUUAGGAUAAGAUCAUCUAAUUAAUCUAAGGUAUCCAAACCAUCCAACACAAUAAAAACUUUUUUAAGUGCAAUCCUUCUCACGGAGAAAGAGGAUUCUAUGUAGGAUGCAUCGGGAUGAAUUUUUUCUUCCUCUAACAAUGAAGACAAAAGUUUAUUGUGUAGACCAUUGACUCCAUACUUGUUUGAUUCAUCCAUUACAUAGUGGAAGCAAAGAACUUCAAAUUGGGAAUAAAGUUUACCAAAUAAAGUCCUAGCAAUGGUGGUCUUUCCUAUGCCACCCAUGCCCCAUAUUCCAAUGAUUAUAACAUCAUUUGACCCAAUUUCCAUCAUUGAUUCAAUUUGUUCGUAAUUUUUCUCAAUUCCAACAAGCCCAUUAAUAUCAUAUGGGUAUCUAGGAUUCAGUUUCCGCAAAACAUCUUCAACAAUGGCUUUAAUGAAGUCUGAGUCACUCCUAACAUAUGAAAGAGGGGAAGAAGGUUUAACAUGUCUACUAAAUACAAUAAAUAAACAUCUAUAUGAUUAGAAAUAUAUACAAAAUUUAUAGUCAACAUGAUGGUAGUGGCGUAGUAGAGCAAAAAAAGAAGCAAAAAUGAGAUUCGAGGAAAUGAAAUACCAAACACACAGUGCAAUUAAAGUCUAUUUUUUCUAGGAAGUGAAAUCCUAAAGAAAAUUAUAAAAAAAUAAAAGUUUUAUGAUACUCGAAGCAUGUGUUGCUACUAUUAAGAUUUUAGUGAUACAAAUAGAAUCAGCCAAAUCGAAGUAAAAAAAAUUGUGAGAUAGUGUAUGAUGACUUUGAUAGUUUUGAGAAGGUCAUCAACUAUGGCCAGGCACAUCAAUGUCAUUGUUCACUUCUCGAAAUAAUUUGGCCUGGUUUACUUUCUAAAAUUAUAUUUCGUCUUCAAUUUCUAAAAUUUAUGUUCAUUUCCAACUACAAAUAUGGAGAUGAAAGACUUAUGAAGUAAACAAUUGUGCUAUAUUAGAAACAAAACAUUCAAAUGAUAGGAAAUAGUUUAUUGAUUUUACUUACCUAUAAUUUCGAGAGUCCCAACCAACUAAAUUAGCUGCAUCAGUGAGAGCAGCUUUCCAUUUCUCCAACUUAUCGUUAUUGUGCUUCAAAUUUCGCUUAUGUUUUGCAAAGGCUUGCUUGUAACUCCCGGUCUGCUUCCUCACAUGUGAUGGAUCUAUGUUGUAAAAAACUGGUAUCACAAUCUGUUCCAUAUAUUUCUUGCAUUCAAGAAUCUUUUUGAGCUCAUUCAAGCACCAUUUUGAGGAAGCAUAGUUUUCUGAGAAGAUGACAAUAGAUGCAUGUGACUCCUCAAUGGCUUUGAUGAGUGCUGCCGAGAUCUCAUCUCCUUUUUGAAGCUCAUUGUUGUCUAUAAAGGUUUCAACUUUCUUUCGGCUCAGAGCGUCGUAAAGAUGGCUAGUGAAGUUUCUGCGAGUAUCCUCACCUCGAAAGCUAAGAAAAACCUCAUAUUUUUUCUUAGGGACCACAUCAGAAGAAGAUACAGAGGAAAAAGCACUGCUCAUUUUCUCCUCGUGACGGUUAUGAAUUCCCAGGGCCUGUACUAAGCCACUAAUCACAAUGCUACAAUAAAAAAAAAAAGUAAUGUUUAUUGUGUUCUUGAUACUUUUGACCACACUCAUUCUCGUUGUAAUUAGAGAAACUAGUUGUUAAAUUAAAAUUAAGAAGAAAAAAGAUCAUACCAAAGUCAGAAUCAAGCUUCAUGCAAGAAGACUUUAAAGUCAUAAAUCCCAACAGUAGUAUGGCUUAGCUUCUGCUGGAAUCAAUUUUAGAUGAAAAUUAAUUAAGGAUAAACACACACAAACACUUCAUAUAGAUGUAAUGAUUCAAAAUUAAAAUAUAAAAUAGUAAGUGUGGUUUCGUGGUUAUCCUUCAAGGAAGUUUCGUGGUUUUAUUUUCAGUUUUUCUUUCUUCCUUUGAAUAGUUUCUUUAAAUAUUCAAAUGUGUACGUCGUGGUGUUCUUCAGAAGGUAUGGCCAUCACAUUAUUCUUUAUAACAACCAUAUAAAAAAAAAAAUGACAUUAUGAAUUUGUCAUCAUGUGUGGUCAGAUCAGAUGCAUAAUGUGUAAGACGCCGGCUGAAUAAAAUAUGGCAACAAGAGAAUAUUUAGACAAACAAUGAUGCACAUAAUAUAGUGUGAAUCUAAUUUCCUAUAUUAAACUAAAUAGUUGUUACAUAAGGUUCCAUUUCUUUCUAUUUGUUUUUUUACCAAUCAAAUUAAGUAACCUUUAAACAAAUAUCAUAUAUAGUUGAACCGUUGAAUCUUGAACCUUAUUCACAUGUUCAAUGGCUGGUCCAAUCAUUUGUUUAAUGGUUGGUCCAAUUUAGAAAAUAUUAAUGAAGACGGCCUGCUUUGAUAAAUUAUUUAUUUAAAAACUUAUUUAUAUCCUUUUUUACUAACAAGGAAUUGAGACGUAACCAAAAAAAAAACAAGGAAUUGAGAUGGCCCUCUUCCGAUCUCAUCCCAACCCCACCAAUGGCCAACUUUAAAGCUAUGUUUGGAUUGGUAGAGAGUGGUGGAAUGGAAUUGAAUGAAGUGGGAUAGAUUCACAUUCUAUUGUUUGGUUUUGUAAAAAAAGGAAUAGAAUGGAAUGUAGUGUAAUGGAACUCAUUGCAUCCAAUACCACCUAUUUAACCAAUUUUCCAGUUCCUCCCAAUUUGGGGUGUAUGCAAUGAAAAAACAACAAUCUUCCUAGUAAAUACUAUAAAACAACAAUCAUCACCAAUGGUGGAAAUUAAUCAACAAAAAUUGAAAAAGACUUCCAUAAAAAUGAGUGCCUCAAAAGUAACCUUCAAAAGAUUCAAUUGAUAAGCAAUAAUCCAGCUUAACAUUGAGCUUCUCAUACGUAGCAUUCCAAUUUAUUAUGUCUGAAUUACAAGCAAUCAGAAGUUGAGGACAAGCCUAUAGAAGCUCAAAUUUUUCUGAAUAAAACCAUACCCUACACCGAAUUAGGGCUCUAUGAAGCCUCUAAUACUCGAAACAAUCGAAGAAGCAUUGGGGCUCUAAGACUAAGAAGGAGAAGAUGAAAAGAAACUAGCUACAAAAUUAAAACAUAUGUUUUCAUUGAUUAAUUACAUUCCUAAAGAUACAACACACUUAUCCCCUCUGUUGAACACCACAAUUGUUCCUUGUGACCUUGAAGUAGAAAUUGAAAUGAUAAGUUGCAAAAAUCAUAAAUUUCACUAUCUUGUCUGUUGUGAACAUGCCAGCAUACCAGUACAUAAUCAGAAAUGAAUGUCCCAAGAUAACUGUCACUAAUACAACGUAUGUCGGCUUCUUUUCCGUUUUCAAAGAUAAUACAGUGAACGGCAUCAGGGGCGGUUCUAAGGCCCGGCGACCCCCGGCUCCGGGCCAAAUUUUUUGUGUAAAUCCCUAUGAAUUUCUUAUAUAAACCCCUAUAAAUUGGGCAAUUUCUUUACAUUUUUUAUUAUUUGCUUGCAAUUUCUUAUGUACGCCCUAUAAAUGUGUUGCAAAAAAAUUUUCCGCCCAGGCUUUACAAUAUUCCUGGCUCCGCCACUGAACGGCAUGGUGGUAAACAUUAAAGCCCUCAGAAAGAAUGAUGGAAAAUAUAAAACUGCACAAAUCAGAUUUUGGAAUAGGAGGAAUAAUUAUUGAAGCCUCUAUUGUCUGAAAAUCAAACAUGCAUGCAAUGGAGUCUUCAGAGAAGGUUUGUAACAUGUUAUUAAAAAAUGACGGUUGAAUGGAGUAUGUGUCCAGAUAACUGCAAUUAACGGCAGGGAUGGUGGAAGCUCUGUUAGAGACACAAUUUUCCUGCAAUCAUCUAAAUCAAGCCAUUCCCAACAUUGAAUGGUUUUGGAUAUUGUCGGGGAGAACAUCUAAGUUGCAACACUCUUUCAAUUUUAGCCGUUUUAAAGACUAUAUACCAUCGAGGAUGGACCACAGACUUAAUGCAUCGAUUUCUGUGCACCCUGAAAGGUCUAGUUCGGUAACAAACCCAAGCCCAUGAUCAUCUGAUAACUUCUUCCCAACAGUGUUGAGCUUGUUACACUCAGUUAGACCAAGAGAAGUAAGUUUGCAAUUACGCCAAAUCGAUAAAGAUAAUUCACGUAUAGCAGUGCCAUGUAAGGAUAACUCUGUCAUUUCCUCUGAUGUCACCGAAAAUUCCAUGAGGGAUGAACAACCAUCAACUAAGAGAGAUUUUGAAUGAAAAUUGGUUUUUAGGCUAUGACUCAUGCAAAUCUCUACAAGCAUUUCAGCACAAAAGGUUGAUGGCAAAGAUUCAAGACAGUAUCCAUCCCAUCGAAGGUACCUCAAUUUAUCAGAAAUCCACUCAAGACCAUCGGGAAAGUACACAUUGCAUGUGCUCCCAUCAGAUAUAUUAUAGAUUUUAAGAUAUCUUAUAUUUUUCAUCCUUCUAAAGGAAUCAGACUUCAAUAAAGAUCCCCAACAUCUGUACAAUGGAACGUUAUACCUUCCACAGCUUCAGUUCCCUAAUAAAAACAUUUUUUUUUAAUAAUUAGGAAUGGUUCCCUGAUGAACUUUCCUUGUUAUAUUUCCCUGACGCAUUUUUGUUAUAAUUAGGAAUUGCAAACUCUAUUACCUUGUUGUUUUUCAAUAAUUCAGAUAUUUCUUCAGCCCUCCACAAUCUACUUCUUUUCCCAGGGUCUUUAGAUUCUUGAUUAACAAUCUCCCGACCCAUUUCUUGUAACAAAACAUGCAUUUCUAUUGUAUCAACAUCCAGAUUUACAUGCCAAAUAAGUUUUAGUUCUAUGAGAGCUUUAUCUAGAAGGACUUCUAUCCCAAUUGUUGCAAAGAAUCGACAAGCUUCCAAUACAUGUUUUACAAAAUCUUUAUGCUCUUCUCUCAACAAGCAUGCGAUAUCUAGAAAUAUGGCCUUUUGACAACAAUCUAAGUCAUCAUAACUCAAUUUUAACACAUUAAAAAUUUUCCUAUUGGGAAUCUUUUGGAGCAUUUUCAAUUCAUUGUCCCAUGCUUCCUUGCUUCUUGAACUCGGAUUUGCACCUAAAACUUUUAUAGCCAGAGGAUUGCCUUUGCAAUAGGCAAUUACACUCUCUGAUAGAUCUUCAUAUCCAAUUUUAGGAUGUUUUUCUCCGAAGAUAGUCAAACUCAAUAGUUGAAGAGAAUCAUGUUUGUUCAAUUCCUUAACCUCACAUAUUUGCACAUUUUGUGAAUUGACUAAAUAUGUGUUUAUAUCUAGUUGUAAUAAUGACCCCACUACCCGGUGCCAGUCCAUCAAUUUUUAGCAUAAGAUCUUCUAUUUGCUCUACAGUUUCUCUACACUAUCCAGCACAAUGUAAAAUUCUUUACGUGCAAUCCUUCUCACAGAGAAAGGGGUUUCUACGUGCAAUAAUUCUCACUCUGUUUUUUUAUUUUUUUAUUUUUUUUUCUUCUUUCUAAUCCUUUGAAUAUCUCCAGGUUCUUACUUUAUUGAAGGAAAUGUAACAUGAAGAAAAUAUAAGGAAAUGUAACAUGAAGCAAAAUUUGAGGAAAGAAAAGUUAGGCCUCAUCCUCAAGUAGUAGGAAUGUAGUCCAAUUUUGAUGGCAAAUUACACCCUAUUUCCAUUAACUUUUCAUCGGUAAGAACCAUGUCAUGGACGAGUCUUCAGAUAAGCAGAGACUUUGAGGGAGGAAUAUCUUUGCUCCAAAGUAGGAGCAAUGUGUUUUUUAAAAGAAUAAGUAUCUUUUAAAAGCUAAAUUUCCAUCAGAGGUUCUUUUCCAAAUCAAAGAAUCUUCACAGUCUUCAUCAGGAAUAGUUGCAGCACAAGCAAGCUAAUAGUAGGGAACAUCAACAGGACAUCACGAAGAAUGUUCCAGUGAAAAUUGGUGAAAUAGUAUUAGUCAGACACUUUUGAAGGGAAAGUGUUGAUAAAUAUAUUUUUCCUUAUAAAUAUAAAAAUAAAUAUUUGUCACCGAUACAAUAAAAAAAAUACACAAGACAAAUAUUCAUAAAAAAUUGGAUUAUUAUUUUUCAUUGAUAAACAAUCUAUGACACAAGAUAUAAACGGAGAAAUAAUUGUCACUAUUAAGCAGUAGUAAUUGACACAAGAUAUAAAUACUUUCAUGUACUUGAAGCUGCUCAUUCUAACCAAGGAAUUUCACUACUUCAACACCAAUGUUGCUCAGAUUUGUUUGCAAACUCAUGCUUACUUUGCUCAGAACCCUUCUCAACAUCCUCUGACCCCUCCAUGAAGUUACAGAAGCAUCAUAGCUCGAUAUCAAACAGUCUAAUGCAUAAACAGAUAUUGCGAUGAAGUAUUGUGCGAGAAACAAUGAGACAGAAAACGUUUCUGACUAUUAUAAUUCUUUGGACCCUCGAUAAAAUACAGCCGGUCAUUAUUUUCUAGAAUCAUGAGAAUUUUAAAACAAUUCUUCAAUUGAAGGAUUUAAAUCUUUUAAUAAAAUAAGCUAAGGUGGAAGGUAUGAUUGAAAAAGUGGAAAUUAUAUAGUGCUACAAUCAAAAUAAUUAACGGCUACUAACUAGCAUAACCUCUAGGAAUUAGAAAGCUUCUGCCUUGUUUAAAGAUACAAACAUACAAUUACACAGACUUGGGUCUAAUUACUUGGCGCCUGCGUCUAACAGAAGGUUGUUCCUCUACUUUGUAAGAAUAAGAAGGUUGUUCCUGAUCAUCUUCAUUUUCAUUGUUAUAGCUUCUGCCUUCACCUCCAAUUGCUAUAGACACAUAAGAGUCUUGAGCAAUGGAUUUUAACUUACCAAUUUCCUUACUAAUGCUACUACCCCAAUAUUCCCAUACAGGUAAGACCCCACACCCCUUUAUCCCCUCCUUUGACCACCGUAAUUCUUCAUUGGGACCUUGAAGUAUGAAUUGAAAUGAUAAGUUGCAAAUAUCAUAACUUCCAUUUUCUUGUCUGUUGUAACCAUGCCAACAUAUCAAUGCAUGAUCUGAAAUUAAUGUCCCAAAAUAAUUGUGACUAAUGCGACGUCUGUUGACUUCUUUUCCGCGUUCAAAAAUAAUACAAUGAAGGGCAUGGUGGUUAAUAGUGAAGCCCUCAGAAAAAAGGAUGCGAAAUAUGAAACCACAUAAGACAGAUUUUUUAAUAGGAAGAAUAGUUAUUGAAGCCUCGAUUGUCUGAAAAUCAAAAAUUAUUGGAUCUUGUGCUCCUGGCAGGAAAGAGAAAGCAUUUAUCACACCUUCUUCAAUAGAAGGGUCUUCAAAGAUCUUUCGUACCAUGUUUUCAAGCAAUGACCAUUGUGUGGAAUCUGUGUCCAGAUAAGUGCAAUUAACAGCUUUAAAAUAUAACAGGGAUGGCGGAAGCUCUAUCAGAGUCACGAGGUUCCUGCAAUCAUCUAAUUCAAGCCAUUCUAGCAUUGAAUGGUUUUGGAUAUUCUCUGGGAGACUUUCUAAGUUGCAACACUCUUUCAAUUUUAGCUGUUUUAAAGAUUGUAUGCCAUCAAGGAUGGACCACAAACUUAAUGCAUUAAUUUCUGUGCACCCUGAAAGGUCUAGUUCCGUAACAAACCCAAGUCCAUGAUCAUCUGAUAACUUAUUCCCGACAAUGUUAAGCUUGUUACAUCCAGUUAGGUUAAUAACAGUCAUUUUGGUAUUACGCCAAAUUGAUGAAGACAAUUGAUGUAUAUCAGUGCCACAUAAGGAUAACUCUGUCAUUUCCUCCGAUGUCACUGAAAAUUCCAUGAGAGAUGAACAACCAUCAAGUUUAAGGUUUCGGAGAGAAUUUGAAUGAAUAUUGGUUUUAAGGCUUUCGAUCUUUAUGCAACCUCCUAAAUCUAGUACAAUAAGUCGAGGGAGAGAAAAGAUGUAUGGAUGGAGAUGACGCAGGCUUUCACAUUUAUAGAGAUGUACUUUUUCAAGAUUUGUAGCCCUAGAUAAGUUUGGGAUCUCAAUCAGAUCUUUGGAGUAAUUAAGGCUAAAUGUGAUUAGAUUCACAAGAUUCUGUAACAAGAAAUAAACAUGCAUUAGUGUCGAUUAAAAGAGAAACAAAACCUAGUUAAGAAUAAACAGAAGCAUGCCAUACUAACUCUGCUGCAUUUUUGUGAAUGACAUUAGACUUCCUCUUGUACCUCUAUAAAGUUAACAAGUACAUCCAAACAUUUUGUACCUGAACUCCAUCCCAGAGCUUUUUAAGCUUGCUAUGAGUCAUGUGAAGCUCUACAAGCAUUUCAGCACAAAAGUUUGAUGGAAAAGACUCAGGACAAUAUCCCUCCCAUUGAAGGUACCUCAAUUUAUCAGAAAGCCACUCGAGACCAUCAGGAAAAUGUACAUUGCAUAUGCUCCCGUUGGAUAUAUUAUGAAUCUUAAGAUAUCUUAAGUUUGUCAUCCUUCUAAAGGAAUCAGACUUCAAGUAUAGAUCCCCAACUUCCGUACUAUCGAAUAUUAUACCUUCCCCAACUUUAGUUCCCUGACAACGAAAAUUAGAUUAAUAAUUAGGAAAGGCUGUCAUAUGUACUUUCAUUGUUAUAUUUUAUAAUUACAUACAUAUAUUUUCAUAUAUAAGUGAUUGCAUCCUCUGCUUACCUUGUUUUCUUUUAAUAUAUCAGAUAUUUCUUUAGCUCUCCACAACCGACUUCGUUUUCCAGGGUUUAUAGAUUCUUGAUUAACAAUCUCCUGUCCCAUUUCUUGUAACAAAUCAUGUAUAUGUAAACUAUCAACUUCCAACUUGGCAUACGAGUGCCAAUUUGGUUUUACUUGUAUGAGAGCUUUAUCUAAAACGACUUCUAUCCCACUUUCUGCAAAGAACUCACAAGCUUCCAACAAAUCUAUUAUAAAUAUUUUAUGCUCUCCUCUCAAAAAGCAUGCAAUAUCUAAAAAUAUGGCCUGUUGAAAAAAAUCUAAGUCAUCAUAACUGAAUUUUAACACGAUAUAAAUUUUCCUAUUUGGAAUCUUUUCGAGCUUUUUCAAUUCAUUUUCCCAUGCCUCUUUGCCUCUUGAGCGGAGAUUUACCCCUAAAACUUUUAAAGCCAGAGGAUUGCCUUUGCAAUAGGCAAUUACACUUUCUGAUAGAUCUUCAUAUCCAAUUUUAGGCUGUUUUCCUCCGAAGGCAUUCAAACUGAAUAGCUGAAGAGAAUCAUGAUUGUUCAAUUACAUGACCUCAUAUAUCUCACAUUUACUGAACUGACUAAAUAUGUGCUUAUCUCUAGUUGUCAUAAUGACCCUACUACCCGGUCCCAGCCCAUCAAUUUUUAGGAUAAGAUCUUCUAUUUGCUCUAAGGUUUCUAUGCCAUCUAACACAAUUAAAACUUUAAUUUUACGUGAAAUCCUUCUCUUGGAUAAAGUGGCUUCUAUGUAGGAUGCAUCAGGAUGAAUAUUUUCCUCCUCUAACAAUGAGGAUAAAAGUUUAUUGUAUACAACAUUAUGUCCAUACCUGUUUGAUUCAUCCAUUACAUUGAGAAAGCAACAACCUUCAAAUUGAGAAUAAAUUAUAGCAUAUGAAGCCCUAGCAAGAGUGGUCUUUCCUAUGCCACCCAUGCCCCAUAUUCCAAGGACUCUAACAUCAUUUGAGCCAAUUUUCAGUAUUGACUCAAUUUGGUCAUAAUUUUUCUCAACUCCAACAAGCCCCUUAAUUUCACAUGGGUAACUAAGAUUCAGUUUCCGCAAAACAUAUUUAACAAUGUCCUUAAUGAAGUCCGAUUCGAUCCUAGAAUAUGAAAGAGAGGAAGAAGAUUUUACAAGUCUAACAAAUACAAUAGUAGAAAAGUACAUCUAUAUGAUUAGUAUACAAAAUUUAUAGUCAAUAAGGUGACAGUGGCUUAGUAGAGCAAGAAACAAACAAAAAUUAGAUUUGGGGAAACAAAAUACCAAAGACACAAGGUAAUAAAUGUAUAUUUUCUAUGACUUUGGUAGUUUUCAGAAGGUUGUGUCAACUAUUACUUUGGCCUGUUUAUUUUCAAAAAUUAUUUUUAGUGUUUGUUUUCUAAAAUUUAUGUUCAUUUCCAAUUAAGAAAAUGGAGAUGAAAGACUCAUGUAGUAAAUAGCUGUGCUAUAUUAGAAAACAAAACAUGUAAAUGAUAUGAAAUAGUUUAUUUAUUUUACUUCGAAUUUUUUCGUUUUGUUUACCUGUAAUUUUGAGAGUCCCAACCAACUAAACUAGCUGCCUCAGUGAGUGCAUCUUUCCAUUCCUGUAACUUGUCAUUAUUGCUCUUCAAAUCUCGCUUAUGUUUUGCGAAGGCUUGCUUGUAACUCCCAGUCUGCUUCCUCACAUGUGAUGGAUCUAUGUUGUAAAAAACAGGUAUCACAAUCUGUACCAUAUAUUUCUUGCAUUCAAGAAUCUUUUUGAGCUCAUUCAAGCACCAUUUUGAGGAAGCAUAGUUUUCUGAGAAGAUGACAAUAGACACAUGUGACUCCUCAAUGGCUCUGAUGAGUGCUGGCGAUAUCUUAUCUCCUUUUUGAAGCUCAUUGUUGUCUAUAAAGGUUUCAACUUUC